GUAAUUAAAAUGUUUAGAUGGAGAAAGAAUGUAAUAUGUUCAAUAAUGACGAGAAUCUAAAAACUGAUUAUUUUGUAAUUCACUGAAGAACAUAAGAUGUUGCUUCUCGAGGUAAAUGUCUGUAUGAAUAAUGAUUGAGUCUACGACUCGAAACUUUUUUGAUUGUAUGGACAAAAGAAAAACAACAUAUCUAUACCUCUAAAAGAAAGAUAAUGAUCAUCUAAAUCUUAUCAAGUUUACCUAAGUAAUUAUAUAAUCCAAUGCAGUUAUUAAGAAUCUAAAUUUCGGAUAUAUAUACACAUAUAAAUGCUUAAACUGCUGACAUUAUGAGAGUGUCUAAGGGAAUAAUAAGAAUUUCGGCCUGACUUUCGAAGAAAACUCUGGAGUCGUAUUGGGUCUAUGCACAGAUAUGAACUCAGAACUGUGCUUAUGAGUUAAAUAAAGUAGUGCAGAAACAAUAAAGUAUCAAUCGAAAUGUUA